GUAGGUGGCAAGCGUUGUCCGGAAUUAUUGGGCGUAAAGCGCGCGCAGGCGGUUCUUUAAGUCUGAUGUGAAAGCCCACGGCUCAACCGUGGAGGGUCAUUGGAAACUGGAGAACUUGAGUACAGAAGAGGAAAGCGGAAUUCCACGUGUAGCGGUGAAAUGCGUAGAGAUGUGGAGGAACACCAGUGGCGAAGGCGGCUUUCUGGUCUGUAACUGACGCUGAGGCGCGAAAGCGUGGGGAGCAAACAGGAUUAGAUACCCUGGUAGUCCACGCCGUAAACGAUGAGUGCUAAGUGUUAGGGGGGUUUCCGCCCCUUUAGUGCUGCAGCUAACGCAUUAAGCACUCCGCCCUGGGAGUACGGCCGCAAGGCUG
rnacentral:rRNA from 1 species